UGCCAAACCUGUUGACAAACAGGCUGACUGAGAAGGAGCCGAUCAUACCUCCUACUGAGAAGAUGGCCACAGAAAGGGACCAGAGAGAGACUGAAGUCAUGAGAUGAUUUGGUCAGUGUGUGCAAGUCACAGCCCUUUCAGAAGCACUGAAUCUACACUUAACACAAGGAAUGAAUAAACAAAAUAAGGAAGCCUGAGAUGGUCCCUGAGAUAAACUAAACUAGAACUGUAAUCCCUACCAACCCUCAACUGUUUUCUGCAUGCUCUCUUUACAGUUCUUUCUGUCACGGCUCCUUUGUUCCAACUUAAAACUGAAGCAGCUCACAUUCCUCCACACAUCUAAUAUAGCCCUAGCAGGAAAUGGCAAAUGGAGCCCUCCUGCUCCCUCUGUACUCCUAUAUGAAAGGAUAAACGUUUCUGCUUGCUCUGCCUCCUCCCCAGAACUUUUCCUUUCCUGUUCAUUGUUGUAGUUGAGAAAGUUUUGAACAUCUUUCUGACUUCAUAAACCAGAACAAAUUAUUAGCUGCUUAGGAGGCAACUUCCAUCCUUUCUGCAUCUCCCCUCUCACCUUCUCAGGAGCAUUGAUGACACCAGUGUUGUACCCAAACUGGAGAGAUCCAAUGGCAGCAAUGGUAACUGCAUAGACAAGGGGUACUGUGAUCUUCUGUGGAAAGGGAAGAGAAAAUAAUUAUUUUAUUAAGUUGUGUAAUCAUGCUUUCUACAUUACUUGAGUUUCUCUUCAGCAUGAACACCAGCUGCAGCUCAUAGAUGGCAUGUGAAAGGGCACCAACAGCAAGAAAUGGACUUUAAUCAAGCAAGAGCGGGUACCAGAGACCCUGGAAAGGGAGACACAACUGUAUAGCAGGAAAAAGCUCUGUAACCAGAAGAGUGAGGGCCUGUUAGGACCUCCCUUUCAUCCUUCUGACCUUCAUCAGCUAUUCUCAGCUCAUUAGCAAUGAAUAACACCAGUGGCUGUUAUUUUGGGUUGAUCUGCUUUACUAAAAGCUUUUGCUGAUCUCUGUCA